UUACUCUUCCGAUCUCAUCGCCAUCCCUUGCAACAACAAGGGAGCAUGCUCAGUAGGUCUGAUGUGGUGGAUGCUGGCCCCAGGAAGUUCUGCGCAUGCAUGGCACCAUUUCCAGUGAACACCCAUGGGAGGUCAUAUUUGAUCUCUACUUCUGCAGAGAUCCUGAAGACAUUGAAAAGGAAGAGCAGGCUGCUACUGAAAAAGGCUGUGACCAAAGAGGAAUAUCAGGGUGAAUGGGCUUCACCAGCUCCUGAGUUCAAUGCUCCUCAACCUGAAGUCAUAGACUCAUCA